rnacentral:lncRNA from 1 species
ACAAUCAUUUAAAUUCUCUCUUUUUCACUUUUUAACUAUUUUGUUAGGUAGGUAUGGCACUUGAAGAAAGAAGAUGGACAGAUGGAUCACUGAAGCAAGAAAAAAAAAAAGACGCAUGGAUAUAUCAUUGAAGCAACAAGAAGAAAGUAGAUAUUGCCAAUCAGGUCUAUACAUUCUCAAGUGUUCCCACCUCUCCUGAUUGCACCAUCUUUGCCGUGUCCCGUGUUUACUCUUCGACCAUAAAAGGUAAGUUUACGCUGUGUAGGUGACCAGAAGUGGGCCUCAAGGAUGCUUUUUUAACAGUGUCGAUGCUUCGCUCGGUACCUUUCAUGUCGUCAGUCGUUGCAAUUGUGGUGAUGGUCAAUGUAGCUGUGGUUGCGAGAGCAUGAUCUUUAUGUGGGAUCGUAACAAGUUAUUGUGUUGUGAUUUUGUGAAGGAGGAAGUAGUUGUGAAGGAGCUUGCCGAGGUAGGAUUUGGUUAAGUGGAAAAAAUCCGAGACGUUUAAGGAGAUGAAGAGGUUCCAUCAAAAUGAAUGGUUUCAUAAAUUUGGAGAGAAGGGCUUCAUCGUGUUUUCAUGUUCUUUCAUUGGAAAAUUCGAUUCACGAGAAUAUGUAAGCAGUUUCAGCUGGUGAUGGCGGGACAACAACUGAAUUUUGCAACGUGAAAGCAGUAUGGCUCGAUCCUCGAUUCAGAAAAGCUUUCUAAGUCAAGAAUAGUUCAUUUGGGGUUAUUUGUUCUAGUAUGGUUUGUCCCAAAAGACCUACAUUUGUCCUCCAGUCAUUAGCAUAAAUGUUUUACCAAUGUUGAAGUGG